UUCGUCCUGAGCACAUUGUUCGUCUUCGAUUAGUGUUACGCGACCUCGUGCGUCAUCUCUUCCCCUGUCCCCGGUACGAAUCGACGGCUCGUUUAAGCUCGAAGAACUAUUUGUCGAUUCAUUUGUGCUUCCGUUUGAAAGAAAAUUCGAGGAUGCGCGUGUAAGAGGCGAAUGAAGAUGACUGACAAAAACGGGAUACGAAAUUGAAUCGCAGUUGAUCUUCGCAUUUAGACAGUUAUGAAAGCGUGCUGCAACGAAAUAGGCGGAUCUUAAAUGUCAAAGGAAACGUGUUCCCGUGGGAACUUUCAAUUAAAAUUUUAUCAGGCCGGGGAUAAUGGUCGAAGAUGGAUUCGAAGCUUCAUAAAAUAUUAUCCCGUCGUUAAACACAGGGACCAUGAUGCGGAUAAUUGAGAUAAGACCGUGGAAAUCGCAUUCGUUGCCUUAUUAAAUCACUGUAUAUAUUCUGGAAAGAUCCGGAUCAAACCCUGAAAAUAUAUCAUUUUAUUCAUUUUA